AUACGUAGGGCGCGAGCGUUGUCCGGAUUUACUGGGCGUAAAGGGUGCGUAGGCGGCUCUGCAAGUCAGGUGUGAAAGCCAUCGGCUUAACUGAUGGACCGCAUUUGAAACUGUGGGGCUUGAGUGAGGUAGAGGCAGACGGAAUUCCCGGUGUAGCGGUGAAAUGCGUAGAGAUCGGGAGGAACACCAGUGGCGAAGGCGGUCUGCUGGGCUUUAACUGACGCUGAGGCACGAAAGCAUGGGUAGCAAACAGGAUUAGAUACCCUGGUAGUCCAUGCCGUAAACGAUGAUUACUAGGUGUGGGGGGUCUGACCCCCUCCGUGCCGGAGUUAACACAAUAAGUAAUCCACCUGGGAAGUACGACCGCAAGGUUGAA
rnacentral:rRNA from 1 species